rnacentral:rRNA from 1 species
GACGAACGCUGGCGGCGUGCUUGACACAUGCAAGUCGAACGGAAAGGCCUGCUUUCCCUUGUGGUUUGCGGGUACUCGGGUGGCGAACGGGUGAGUAACACGUGAGUGAUCUGCCCCCAACUUGGGUAUAAGCCUGGGAAACUGGGUCUAAUUCCCGAUAGGACUGCAGGGUGGUGCCUGUGGUGGAAAACGAUUUUCUAGUGGUUGGGGUUGAGCUCGCGGCCUAUCAGCUUGUUGGGGGGGUAAUGGCCUACAAAGGCGGCGCGCGGUAGCCGGCCUGAGAGGGUGGACAGCCACAUUGGGACUGGGAUACGGCCCAGACUCCUACGGGAGGCAGCAGUGGGGAAGAUUGCACCAUGGGCGGAAGCCUGAUGCAGCGACGCCGCGUGGGGGAUGACGGCCUUCGGGUUGUAAACUCCUUGCGACCGCGAGGAAGCCACCUGGUUGGAAGGGUGGUGACGGUAGUGGUAGAAGAAGCACCGGCUAACUACGUG